GGCUGUGUAGUGUAGUGGUUAUCACUCUAGAUUUUGAGUUUCAUGCCAACGAAUGAUUUACGUACCUUCUAGCGACCCCAGUUCGAGCCCGGGCACGGCCU